CAACCCUCACUAUUUUCAUAUCAAACCCUAACACCGUUCAUUUCUUCCCCAAUUUUCAAUGUCAGAUCCAUACGAACGUGUAAAACUUGGUAGAUUAGCAUUCAAAGGAGGAACCCUAGCAACUCGAUCCAAAACAAUUGACAAGAAAAAAAAGAAAAAGAAAAUCAACAACAACAGCAAUAACCAAAACCCUAAUAUAGAAGACGAAACCCUAGACGGACAAAAUGAAAAACUCGUCGAUGAAUCGGAACCAUCGGAAUUGUUCACGAUUGACGCAGCGAAACGAAUGAAGUACGAUCAACUUUUUCCCGUUGAAGCUAAGAAAUUCGGUUAUGAACCUAAAAAGGAUGUUAAAUCUGUUGAAGAUGCCCUUGAUGAUCGUGUUAAGAAGAAAGCAGAUCGUUACUGUAAAUGAAGUAAUUGUAAUUAUGAAAAAUGUAAGUUUUUGGUCUCGGGAAUAUGCUUAAUUUUAAAUCAAAUUAUGACACUUUGGCUUGAGGAAAAAUGAUUGCCUUUGUUUGCAAAACCAUGAGGAAAAAUGAUUGCCGUUUGUGGAUCAACUCUGAAAAAAUGUAUCUUACACUAUGUGUACUCAUUUUGAUACAAGAUGCAAGAAAACAUUAAACGAAAGAUAACAUUGGCAUUAUGUGUGAAGACUUAUAUUUGAAGUGUGGAAACAUUAUGCAAACACAAAUAGAUGGUUCAACCAGUUGUAGAGAUUUAUAUACUGUAGAGAUGCCUUACAAACAUCAGACAGUGGUGUAGGAAACCACAGAUAUUCCACAUUGGUCUGCAACGUAUUAAAUUAUUAGUUACUGCUCAUUGAUUUUAUACUAGUCUCUUGUAUAUACAGCAAGGGUGUGUUUGAUUUAUUUCAAAACAUAAUGAUGUUAAAUGAGGUGGUAAUAUUUCGUCACCACAAGAUGUGUUUCACUUUGAAGAGAAAUGAGAUGAGAGAAAGUUCUAAGAAACAGAGGAAGAUUUGAUAUAUUUUUUGCUAUAAGAGAUAGAGAAAAAAGAAGUGGGGAUUGCGUUUGAAAGUACAAUUUUUAUGCCUCUAUUCAAAAAAUUCAUCAAAUCA